UGUGGUUUUCACUUCCACCUGCCACAAGCUAAACACGUCAGGUUCUUCUUGAUUGCGUGGGUCGUUUUCGAAGUCUUUGAGAGAGCUGUCUGGGUGGAAGUGGUUUUAUUUGUGUUUCAGGAAAUUAUCCAGAAAGCAGUGAAGGUCGUUAAAUGCAGACGUCAUUUGCGCCUCUCUUAUUGUUGAACUUGAACCUGAGACGACAAGGAGUCAGACUUCAGGCGGGUAGCUCUAGCGCAGCGCACUCCGGUAGGCUGCUUCACCCAUGAGAGCAGUGCAGGAGGCUGUCAGGUUGGGAUCAGGGAACCCUCUUUCUGAGAUUUGUUUGCGAAUUGCUUGUUUCGCGAUCAGGCGUUUCUAUGUGCGAGGCGUUUGUUGUCACCAUGGCCAGUCUGAGAGCGUUCAGUGAGCCGGUUGAGAGGAUCGCCUCAGAACCCGUGGAGGACACAGACACAAGUAGCUUCAUGACAAGUAUGUCAUUAAAGUCCACCUAUCCGGUUCAAGUCACGGAGCCCCAAGGUAUGUUCAUGUCAAAAGUCUGAAUGAAUGAAGCCAUACAGGACUGUAAAUAUUUUGUAUAUCAUUGUCACAAUGCAAAAAACAUCAUCAUUGCCUGGAGGCCUUUGUCAGUGUCACCAGUGUCUCUAAGACCGGCCCACAGAACAUGUUUAUGGUUGAGAGAAGCAAAGUUAUGUUGUUUUGUUAUCAAAAUGUUUUUUUUGGUGGUUGACAUGGUUUACUAUUUACAAAGAAACAGUUUCUCAUGUGCAAGAAUAGUUCUCUUAAAUGUAUUCAAUAGAAAGAGG